rnacentral:lncRNA from 1 species
GGGCAGAAUGCCAAGAGUGUACAAAACAAUAAAGAGGGUUAAAAUCACCUUAUGAAUGUGGCUGUUGCACUAUGUAUUAAACCAAUACUUUAAUAUGAUAAAGCAACACUUUAUUAUGCUAAACUAAUACUGUACUGUGAUAAAACAAUACUGCGAUGCACUAUGAUAAAGCAACUCUCCACUUUAGUUAUGCCAAGUUUGAGGCUUCAGCUGGUAUGGAAGAUGAAAAGGUGGGUGGGGGGCUCC